UUGCACAAUGGGGGAAAGCCUGAUCCAGCCAUGCCGCGUGUGUGAAGAAGGUCUUCGGAUUGUAAAGCACUUUAAGUUGGGAGGAAGGGCAGUAAGUUAAUACCUUGCUGUUUUGACGUUACCAACAGAAUAAGCACCGGCUAACUUCGUGCCAGCAGCCGCGGUAAUACGAAGGGUGCAAGCGUUAAUCGGAAUUACUGGGCGUAAAGCGCGCGUAGGUGGUUCAGCAAGUUGGAUGUGAAAUCCCCCGGGCUCAACCUGGGAACUGCAUCCAAAACUACUGAGCUAGAGUACGGUAGAGGGUGGUGGAAUUUCCUGUGUAGCGGUGAAAUGCGUAGAUAUAGGAAGGAACACCAGUGGCGAAGGCGACCACCUGGACUGAUACUGACACUGAGGUGCGAAAGCGUGGGGAGCAAACAGGAUUAGACUACCCUGGUAG
rnacentral:rRNA from 1 species